rnacentral:rRNA from 1 species
CCUGCAGGUCGACGAUUAGAGUUUGAUCCUGGCUCAGGAUGAACGCUGGCGGCGUGCCUUAGGCAUGCAAGUCGUACGGUGCAGCAAUGCACAGUGGCGGACGGUCGAGUAACGCGUGGGAAUCUACCUUAAAGUGGGGGAUAGCCAGCCGAAAGGUUGGAUAAUACCGCAUGUGAUCGCAAGAUUAAAGAGCAAUCGCUUUAAGAUGAGCCUGCGUCCUAUCAGCUUGUUGGUGGGGUAAAAGCCUACCAAGGCGACGACGGGUAGCUGGUCUGAGAGGACGAUCAGCCGGAAUGGGACUGAGACACGGCCCAUACACCUACGGGUGGCAGCGACCGGGAAUCUUCGGCAAUGGGCGAAAGCCUGACCGAGCGACGCCGCGUGGAGGAUCGAAGGCCUUCGGGUCGUAAACUCCUUUUACGAGGGAAGAUUAUGACGGUACCUCGUGAAUAAGCACUUGCUAACUACGUGCCAGAAGCCUCGGUAAGACGUAGAGUGCGAGCGUUAUCCGGAUUCAUUGGGCGUAAAGUGUUGCGUAGGCGGAUUUGCGCAUUUCACUCAAAAGCCCGUGGCUCAACCACGGUUUUGGGUGAAAUAUGGCAAAUCUGGAUGGUUUCAGAGGGUACUGGAACAGAUCAUGUAGCAGUGAAAUGCGUUGAUAUGAUCUGGAACACCAAAGGCGUAGGCAGGUACCUGGGAAACUCAUGACGCUGAGGCACGACAGCUUGGGGAGCGAAGCAGAUUAGAGACCUGCGUAGUCCAAGCCGUAAACGAUGGAUGCUAGUUAGUUGGAUUUUUCUAACUGACGUAAGCUAACGCGUUAAGCAUCCCGCCUGGGGAGUACGAGCGCAAGCUUAAAACUCAAAGGAAUUGACGGGGAGGCGCACAAGCAGUGGAGCAUGUGGUUUAAUUCGAGACAAAGCGAAAAACCUCACCAGGGUUUGACAUGUAGAUGCAAGUCCCGUGAAAGCGGGAUUCCUUAGAGGGUUCUACACAGAUGCUGCAUGGCUGUCGUCAGCUCGUGGCGUGAGCUGUACCCUUAAGUGGGACAACGAGCGCAACCCGCACCGUAUGUUAAAUAGUUCAUGCGGAACUGCCCCUUUUUAAGGGGAGGAAGGCGCGGAUGACGUCAAGUCAGCACGGCUCUUACACCCUGGGCUACACACAUCCUACAAUGGACAGUAACAAUGAGCAGCAAGCCGGCAACGGUAAGCAAAUCUCUGAAAUCUGUCCUCAGUUCAGAUCGGGGUCUGCAAUUCGACCCCGUGAAGUCGGAAUUGCUAGUAAUCGCGAAUCAGCAGGUCGCGGUGAAUACGUUCUCGCCUCUUGUACACACCGCCCGUCAAGGCAGCAAAGUUGGGGGUGCCCGAAUAACCAUUUUGGUUAGAAGGCAAAACCAGCGAUGAAGCUUAAGUCGUAACAAGGUAGCCGUAAAUCUCUAG